rnacentral:lncRNA from 1 species
CUUGGGUGCUACUCUGUCCCAUGUCAACAAGAUCAACAGCAAACAAAGGGAGAUGCAGAGGGACCUAGCGGUCUUUCGGUCACAAAUGACAGACACAGUGCUUUCAAAUCAACUAAGUAAAGGAACCGAGGAAGACUGCUCAGAAGAUGACCGCAAGUGUUUCUCAAGCCAAACCGUCUCCAGCAUCAUUCAAAACUUGCCUGACAGUUUGCCCCAGCUGAGCACAGUCUCCACACAAACCUCAGUCUCUGAAAAUGAUUUUGGUUGUCCAAGAGAAGCCCUACUGACGUUGCCGGUUUGGACUGUAGGCAAGAACAACGUAGAAAGGAAAAACAUUCACAAAUUGGAAAACCAAAGUGCAGCUAUGGAGCUUCUGGAGUCAGAGAGAGUCUAUGUGUCCUACCUGUCCCUUCUGCUCAACGCCAACAUCGCCUUUAAUGGAAAUGAAGCCAUACACAUCAAAGACAAGCGGUGAAGUUCCUCACUCUUACACAGCUCAUGAAGGCCUUAACAACUCUCACGAUGCACAGGUUUCUUUGUACUCCCAUAGCAAUUUGAUGUGUGUGUUCUCA